rnacentral:tRNA from 1 species
CGCGCGGUGGAGCAGCGGUAGCUCGUCGGGCUCAUAACCCGAAGGUCGGAGGUUCAAUUCCUCCCCGCGCAA